rnacentral:rRNA from 1 species
CAGCAGCCGCGGUAAGACAGAGGAUGUAAGCGUUAUCCAGAAUGAUUAGGCGUAAAGCGUCUGUAGGUGGCUUUUCAAGUCCACCGUCAAAUCCUCGAGCUCAACCCUCGAUAGGCAGUGGAAACUACCAAGAUGGAGUACGGUAGGGGCAGAGGGAAUUUCCGGUGGAGCGGUGAAAUGCGUUGAGAUCGGAAAGAACACCAAUGGUGAAAGCACUCUGCUGGGCCGACACUGACACUGAGAGACGAAAGCUAGGGGAGCAAAUGGGAUUAGAUACCCGGGUAGUCCCUGUCUCUUAUAC